rnacentral:rRNA from 1 species
GACGAACGCUGGCGGCGUGCUUAACACAUGCAAGUCGAACGGUAAGGCCCUUCGGGGUACACGAGUGGCGAACGGGUGAGUAACACGUGGGUGAUCUGCCCUGCACUUCGGGAUAAGCCUGGGAGACUGGGUCUAAUACCGGAUAGGACCACUGCCUGCAUGGGUGGUGGUGGAAAGCUUUUGCGGUGUGGGAUGGGCCCGCGGCCUAUCAGCUUGUUGGUGGGGUGAUGGCCUACCAAGGCGACGACGGGUAGCCGGCCUGAGAGGGUGACCGGCCACACUGGGACUGAGAUACGGCCCGGACUCCUACGGGAGGCAGCAGUGGGGAAUAUUGCACAAUGGGCGCAAGCCUGAUGCAGCGACGCCGCGUGAGGGAUGACGGCCUUCGGGUUGUAAACCUCUUUCAGUACCGACGAAGCGCAAGUGACGGUAGGUGCAGAAGAAGGACCGGCCAACUACGUGCCAGCCGCCGCAGUAA